AUGGUUUUUCCCAUGAGACCCAUGAGUUCCUGGGAAUCUGCUGAAAGCGCUAAACCUUUUCUCUAGAAAACUGGGGGCAACUGUGCGCAAGCACGCACGGGCAGGUACACAAGGGCACGCCCACACCGGCUUGCGCGUGCGCAUACACCUGAGUUGACUUACUCGCAGGCGUUCCUGAAAUUCACAAGCCAGAAGAAUUUCAAGAGCCCACACAACUCACUUUUCAGAGGGACUUCACCCUUCCCAGAGUGAUUUGCUACCAUGUAUUGAGAGAAGACUGGAUGAUGCCACAUUGCCAUGUGAUACCAUAAGAACUCNNNGAAUCCCCCAUUCAGCGUGGUGUACCCCAGCUUCACUGAGGAAAUUCAGGAUGAAGUCUUCUGACUUAUGCCCCUUAGAGAGGAAGGAGCACGUGACAUGACCUGGCCCAUCAGAUGCCCAGGAACCCGGCAGAAGGGCAGGUAGAAUCAUUCAGCUUGCUGGCAUUCCACAAUGGCAACAGCACCCAGUGGUGUUCAGCAUUGGCAGUGUCCACUGAAAGUGCUGUCAUCAGGGCCCUGGACAGACCGUUCCCAUUUGGUUGUGGUUCCAGCCAGUGAGACAUUGGAUAAGGCCUGAUUUCUCAGCCUGGUUCUUCAUGAUGAAUUUUUAAACAGCUACCCUUAAAUUAGCUCAGGUCAGUUUCUGUUGUUUAUAACAGGGAAUCCUGAUCAAUACCAAUGACAUAGCCUCUUUUUGAUCAAGAAGUUGUAAAUGUCUACAUCUCUAGGCAAACCCACAUCUGUCCUCAAAGCCUUAAAACACAGAUCAGGUGCAUUUCUUUUUUUUUCCCCUCAAAGACAAAUCCUAAGAUAAUCAAGUCUCUAAAUAAUAAUGAGCAGUUUUCAUUGCAAUAAGUAAAUAAUAUACAGUCAUCUCUUGUAUCUAAAGGUAUUGGUUCUAAGAUCCCCACAGAUACCAAAACUGUGGAUGCUCAAGUUCCUUAUAUAAAAUGGCCAGCGCAGGUGGCCCCCUCUAUCUCUGGGGUUCCAUAUCCUUGAUACAAAGGCCUGACUGUAUGUAUCAACCUAUUAUGUUCAUGGACAGAAAAAAAAAAAGUGAAUUAGCAAAUGUGAAAACAUUUUUAUUGACCUUAAGAUAUAGUCAUUUUAGGAAAGCAGAUAGUUGACAUUGUUUUCAGUUAUUGUCACAGCAAGAUGCCUGUGAAACUCUUUUAAUUGGACUGAGUGGCCCAUUAAUGACACUUGAGAUAUAUGCAGAGCUUGUCAUAUACUUUAAAAUUCACAAAGGCAGAUCAGUUUAAUAUGCUUUAUUCAUUUUCUUGGUUGAACACUGGGUUAUAUCCCAACUGAAUGAAGCAUCUGAUGUACUCCGAUUUGCAUUCUUGCACGCAGCAUACUUUCCGAUUCCACCUCAUUCGCAUCACUGUGAUUGUGCCAGUUUCUUACACAGGAGGACAUCAGUCACAUUCACUAUCAGCUAAACAGUUUGACCCAAAUGACAAUAGUAAAUCAU
rnacentral:lncRNA from 1 species